UACGUAGGGACCAAGCGUUGUUCGGAUUUACUGGGCGUAAAGGGCGCGUAGGCGGCAUGACAAGUCACUUGUGAAAUCUCUGAGCUUAACUCAGAACGGCCAAGUGAUACUGUCGCGCUAGAGUGCAGAAAGGGCAAUCGGAAUUCUUGGUGUAGCGGUGAAAUGCGUAGAUAUCAGGAGGAAUACCGGUGGCGAAAGCGACUCUCUGGACGGUAACUGACGCUGAGGCACGAAAGCGUGGGGAGCAAACAGG
rnacentral:rRNA from 1 species